GCGGCAGCGGCGGCGACCCCCUGAGAUGGGAGCCCCGGGCGCCCUGGGCACCAGCCCCAGCACCCCCACCGUACACACACCCCCUCCUCAAGCAGCUGCAGAACGGGCUUCCUUGCACCUGCUGGGAUCCCUGAGCGACCCCAGGCUCUGGGACCGAACCCUCGGACCCCAGCUGCGCUCACCACCCGACUGGAGGCAAGGCCCCCCUGUGUGCAUGCUCCUGUUUCUUCCUGCCCAGCUGAUUCAGCUGAAACCUUGCACUCCCGGGCCAGUUCCUCCCUAGCUGCUCAAGAUUAUCUGGGAGACAGCCUGAAUGAAGCUCACUCAAAAAAUAAGACCCAGAAGGAAACCUGGGAUUUCCCUACAACAAAGACUUAAUGCAUCCAGAUUUGACUAAUUUCAGGAACUGCCUAAACUUGGGAGUCUCGCUGUUCAUUCACUUGAAAACCACCUGCAAGUCUGUGAGAAGUUAUGUUGUGUUCACCAAGAAAACACAAAUUCUUCUGAGUUCUAGGAAGAAAAAAAGCUAACUGUGCUUGCCCUGUAAAAUUCUCACGUGGAUCCUAAAAAUGUCUCUCUGAGAUUGAGUGCCAUGUGCCUGGUGAGCAAGCAGGAAAAUGUGCUGGUCUUGGGGGCAGGACCUCUUUCUUCCUUAGCAGUCAUCUGUCCUGUCCAUGGCAGGGCAAGGACCAGCACCAUCAACACUGGGCAAGUGAGCACCUCUGUGUGAAAUUCUAUUUCCACCUUCUGCCAAUCUCCACAUCUAAAACCACCACUUAGCUAGAAGAUGAAAAUGAGUUGCAAAGAGAGGAAGUCAAUCCACUGGAUGGGUCAGCAAAGAGAGUCAAUGUUUUCAUGUCCACUUCUGAAAGAUUAUUUGACAUCUGGAUAAGUGAUGAAAGAUGAAACAUGCAGAGAUGCAGUCUUAGAUUAAGUAUAUAUAUUUUAAUUUUACAAGGUUCCCUUUUCAAGUUUUAGGGAAAUUAAAAUGAAGUAUAUACAAAUUAGACAUAGACAGUAUGUACAAAAGAAUUUUCUUACAAGUUCUGAACAACACCAGCUGUAUCAGGUUUCAUAUGCAGUAAAUGGGACAUUACAAAAAGUCCAGUGAUGCAUUUUCUGUUGAGAAGCACAAUACAUAAUUCAGUUUUAUUAAAAAUAACUUAAAAUACAGAACAAUCCCCUUUAGGGAGAAAAGCUGUUUCUGCAGUUCAUUCAGCAAGCACACGGGUUGAAGGCUGUACUUGAGGGCUGUUCUCUUCCAUGGAGAAAACAAAGGAGAAUUCUAAGGGCCAUCCUCUGAGGACAGAACUUCACCCACAGACAAAUGGGCAAAGUUACAGCCUGUGGCAGAAAGUUCUAGACGCUCCUCUUCCCAUUCCAUGCCUUAAUCCCAAGAAUCUGUGAAUAAAUCACUCCUGUACUAAUAUGUUAGAUGGCCAUGGGUCAUCUGAACAGCGAUUUUCUUGGUGGGCUUGAUCUAUUUAUGUGAACUCUUACAGGAGAAAGGCAGAGAUAUCUGAAUCAUGAGGAAUCCCUGGGCCACUGCUGGUUUGAGAAAGAAGGGACACAGAAAAUGUGUGCAGUCCGGAGGAGUUGAGAGAGUUGUGUCUGAGGGUCAGCAAGGGACUGAAUUCUGCCAACCUCAAAGAACCCAAAAGCAAAUUCUUCCCCUGAGCCUCCCCAAAGGGUUGCUACCCUGCUGACUCUUGUUUCCACUGAGGACCUGGAGAUGAGUCUUCCCUCAGCAGGCUGGACUCAUGAGCUUCAGAACCACCCGGGAGCUUCAGAAAUGGAUAUUGUUGCUCGGUUUUGGGGCCACAUCUGUCAGUGGUCAGGGUUUACUCCUGGCUCUGCACUCAGGAUCACUCACUCCUGGUGGGGCUUGGGAGAACAUUUAGGGCGCUGGGGAUCAAACCUGAUGCAAGGCAGGUACCCUACCCAUAUACUAUUUCUUCUGGACCCCUGAAACGGGUGUUGUUUUAUGAUGUUAAGUCUGGGGUACUCUGUUAUACAGCAUCAGAAAACUACACUGCUCAAGAGUAAUUUUAUUUAACCUAAUCAGAUUUGGCAGUUUCAGUUGGGUUCCGAGUAGGGUUUUUCCGAACUAAGCUCUAUUAAAGCAAUAUCCUCCGUUGUGACAACUUAUAAAAAUCUAGUCAUAUAAAUUAUACAGUUUUGUAUUCACUAUCAAAUAAGUUUCUCUGAUUCAAGUCUUGUGAUGUCUAAUGUACUGCUAUCAGUUAGGUAACAACCCUGUGUGUGAACAACCUACGGGUGAUGGUUAAAACACUGAAAGUCACCCCUUCAUUCAUCAAGGGUAUCAGCUCCCUCCAGUUGAGUGUUCUUUUGCCUGGGAGAGGGUAGCACAGAGCUCUACAUCAAACAUUCAAUAGGAAUUUCUUCUGCAUAACUGGGUUAGACUGGCACUAAGGUGAUUAAGUACACUUGGGGGGAGGGGGAAAUGUUUUUUUUUUUUUU